CGUGUCCUUAACCAUAACAACGAUGGCGGAUGUGUUGAGACUGCACGAGAAUGACUUUAUUUUGUAAAGGGGAGAGCAGAAAAGUCGUGGGACUGACAUCACUAAAAUGCUUCUGAUACUUUGGGAAGCCAUGCUUGAAAUCUGAAUGGGACGUCACAAAAGAGAAACAGCAGGCAGUAUAAACCCAGGUGGACAACUCUGAGGACGUUUGGCAGCACAAUAUAAAGAUUGCUGUUGUUGGUGCUUCCUACGCUGAAGAUCCUGUUGAUGUCUCUCUUAUUCUUGACGGCAAGGAGGUUGUGACUGGAUGUGGAAAUACUGCAAAGCCAUGUACACUGCUAAUGGGUCUGAUAUAUUCCCUCAAUCUUGCUUAUCCUCCAACACUGUGUUACGCUUUUGAAGUGUUCCAGAAGCUUUUCUUAGACUUAGACGCAAUAAAGCUAUCCCCCAAAGUACAAACUCUGAAAAUGAAGUUGCUGUCCAAAACUUAAAAGAUGACAUUUUAUUCAG
ensembl:lncRNA